rnacentral:rRNA from 1 species
UACAGAGGUCUCAAGCGUUGUUCGGAUUCAUUGGGCGUAAAGGGUGCGUAGGCGGCGCGGUAAGUCGGGUGUGAAAUCUUGGAGCUUAACUCCGAAACUGCAUUCGAUACUGCCGUGCUUGAGGACUGGAGAGGAGACUGGAAUUUACGGUGUAGCGGUGAAAUGCGUAGAUAAUCGUAAGGAAGACCAGUGGCGAAGGCGGGUCUCUGGACAGUUCCUGACGCUGAGGCGCGAAGGCCAGGGGAGCAAACGGG